GAAACUUGACUAGUGCGGUGUCAUGGAAGCCAAAUGAAGAAACUAGUUUGAGAGAGAGUCGGUCACUGUGUCACAUGCUGCAGAUAGGUUGAAUAAGAGGAGGGAUGAGAACUGACCAUUGGAUAUACUAUGGUUUCUCUAAUUCUCCCCUGACUUAUAAUGGCUUGUCUUGUUCUAACUUUCCCCCCAGGUUGUAGCAGAUACCAAUAUAAGCGCCAUAGCAACUCAGCUUGAAAACUUGUCUACUGGCUACCACCUUGGUUCACCCACCGCUGACCACCACCCGGAAGACACAGAGGCGCAGCUGCAGAUGACGGCCGAUUGAAGCGAGGUGAUCAAAUUUUAGCUGUUAAUGGCGAGACCCUAGAAGGUGUCACUCAUGAGCAAGCUGUGGCCAUUCUAAAACGCCAGAGAGGGGCUGUAAUCCUAACCGUGCUGUCCUGAGCCUCAGGUCCUGAUCACAGGCUAGAUGUAGAGCACCCACAGGAAGAUGAAGCUAUGAGAGGAUGAGAAGCAACCUCAACUGAAACCCACCUUCACCGAUUCUUACUGUCUCGCCCUCUCUGCUCAGGAGAGACGGCUGAGAUUCACGUGGAUUUCCCACAUCAACAGUCAUCUCCCUAGUGCUUCCCAGCAUCUGUCUCCUCUUGGUGAAGUUGAAUGAGUCUUAUCUGCUUUGCAUUUAACAUCGAUGUUCAUCAACUAGUAGUAACUGGUUCUGAUUAUAUUUGCUGAAACUGAAGUUAACAACCACUCAUUCUGUACGCCCUGCUCUCCCCAUCCCUACUCAAACAGAGGCUUAACAGUGACCUCAGAUCUCAUCUGGUGAA